rnacentral:rRNA from 1 species
CCUACGGGUGGCAGCAGUGGGGAAUAUUGCACAAUGGGGGAAACCCUGAUGCAGCGACGCCGCGUGAGUGAAGAAGUAUUUCGGUACGUAAAGCUCUAUUAGCAGGGAAGAAAAUGACGGUACCUGACUAAGAAGCUCCGGCCAACUACGGGCCAGCAGCCGCGGUAAUACGUAGGGGGCAAGCGUUAUCCGGAUUUACUGGGUGUAAAGGGAGCGUAGACGGCAGCGCAAGUCUGGAGUGAAAUCCUAUGGCUUAACCAUGGAAUUGCAUUGGAUACUGUCAAGCUAGAGUGCAGGAGAGGUAAGCGGAAUUCGUAGUGUAGCGGUGAAAUGCGUAGAUAUUAGGAAGAACACCAGUGGCGAAGGCAGCUUACUGGACUGUAACUGACAUUGAGGCUCGAAAGCGUGGGGAGCAAACAGGAUUAGAUACCCGAGUAGUC